rnacentral:rRNA from 1 species
UAGGGAAUCUUCGGCAAUGGGGGGAACCCUGACCGAGCAACGCCGCAUGAGUGAAGAAGGUUUUCGGAUCGUAAAGCUCUGUUGUUAAGGAAGAACGAGUGUGAGAAUGGAAAGUUCAUGCUGUGACGGUACUUAACCAGAAAGGGACGGCUAACUACGUGCCAGCAGCCGCGGUAAUACGUAGGUCCCGAGCGUUGUCCGGAUUUAUUGGGCGUAAAGCGAGCGCAGGCGGUUAGAAAAGUCUGAAGUGAAAGGCAGUGGCUCAACCAUUGUAGGCUUUGGAAACUGUUUAACUUGAGUGCAGAAGGGGAGAGUGGAAUUCCAUGUGUAGCGGUGAAAUGCGUAGAUAUAUGGAGGAACACCGGUGGCGAAAGCGGCUCUCUGGUCUGUAACUGACGCUGAGGCUCGAAAGCGUGGGGAGCGAACAGG